UACGGAGGGUGCAAGCGUUAUCCGGAUUCACUGGGUUUAAAGGGUGCGUAGGUGGACAUUUAAGUCAGCGGUGAAAUCUCCGGGCUUAACUCGGAAAUUGCCAUUGAUACUAUUUGUCUUGAAUUAUCUGGAGGUGAGCGGAAUAUGUCAUGUAGCGGUGAAAUGCUUAGAUAUGACAUAGAACACCAAUUGCGAAGGCAGCUCACUACGGAUAUAUUGACACUGAGGCACGAAAGCGUGGGGAUCAAACAGG
rnacentral:rRNA from 1 species